AGAGAGAGGACAGAAGAGCAGUGGUGUUGUGUGUGUGCUCUCAGUGUGUUCCCUGCUGAGGGCUCGAGCGCAGACCUCCGUGAGACUCGACACGAGUGUGUGUGUAUGUGUGUGUGUGUGUGCGUGUGUGUGCCGAGCUGUGACACACAGGAGGGAAUGACAUGAACGCUCAUGAGAGGAAGCGAGGAAGAGACCUACGCGGACAGCAAGUGUUUCUGAGAGCUGACGACACACCUGCUGCUGCCCUGCCCUCCCUACAGCGCUGAGUGUGUAUCAGAGCGCCAGAGAAACCAAUGCAGCGGCACGCUCAGCUCAGAGACACACAC